rnacentral:lncRNA from 1 species
CGUUGUCCACGCCCAUUAUUCUCCCCACCCUCGGAUGUGGAUGCCCCAUUGUCGUCAUUGUGGGCGAAUGGAGAUGGACUUCGUGCCUUGAUUCUCGGAUAGGAAUGCACGUCUUGCCAAUUGUCGUUGACCGGGUCUCCUCGCCUCGACCCCUAGCAGGAAUGGCCUUAUGCCUCUAACAGGAAUUCGUCCUCGUGAAUGGCAUAUUCAUGGACGAGCAGAAUAUUCCUGCUCCUGUUCCCCUGCUACCAGGCUCUUACAGGACACACUUGUUCGCAGAACUCUGCCACCAAAUAUCUGCUCAUCACGUCUGGUCUCGUCGAAGUAUUUCCCUCAAACAAUUCAAUUCUAUUCUCAAAUUGGCAACGGAAAUGUAAUCAACUAGUCAUCCAAAUUUAAUUCAAUUUGGUCAAUGAAAUUAUGAAGAAGUGUAUGGUUGACCAGUGAAGGGUUCCAUUUUGUAUAUAAAAUAAAUUAAUUAAUUUAUUUAACAAGUUAUGAGUGGUGAUGAACAUUUCCAAAAUGUAAUAAAUUAAUUGUUGCCUCAAUUAAUAAAGUAUGAUGGUUGCUUGUGGAAUGUGGAAACAUUCAACUUGCCUUAUAAGAUGGGUUAUGCUUUAACCCAAUUUUUCCAAUUUUCAAUGUCUAUUUGUUAUUAAAGAUAGAAUAAGGACUUGAGAGGCAGAGGGCCGCUCAUCAGUCAUUUUUUAACACACAUGACAUCUCACCUGUAAGAAAGCACUUUUUUAUGAUAUGGUCAUUGGAUUUACGUAGGCCGAGACUUUACUAAAUUGCCCAUAAUUAUUCUUUGGCUCCCUUAUCAUUAAUAUAUUUUAAUUGCAAAAAUAAGCUUAAAAUUGCUUUAGAACCAAAAUAAUAUGGUAUAUUAGCUUCAGUAUAUUACUAAUAUGGUUUUACAAUCAAAAUCUCUCUUCCAGACUCUAAUAUUUAAUUUUGUGGGUUAUUUGAUAAUACAUUUUUAGAAAAGAAAAUAAAACUCUAACAAUUUUCGUUGGCAAUACUAUAAAAUAGAUUAAUUUUUGUUUCUGAACUUACAAAAUUAAUAAAGUGAUGGCUUUGAUUAUUGGCAAAAUUCUUGAUAGUACCCAAAAGUAUAAAAAGAAGAAGAAGAAGAAGAAGAAAAGAAAUCAAGUAGACCUUGAAAAUUGAACUAUGCAAAUGCACCUGAAGUAGAUAACAGAUUACCUAAUCAGGCCAAACAAAUUAUAAUAAAUUGGUUGACUGCAAGCAUGGUAGAAAUUUAAGUUCAAUAAAAUAAUUGUGAUAUUUAUAAUCCAUUCUUGUAGGUCCAGUUGGGUUUGUUUUUAGAGGUUCAAAAGUAA